GAUGAACGCUGGCGGCAUGCCUAACACAUGCAAGUCGAUCGGUAAGGCUCUUCGGAGUACACGAGAGGCGGACGGCUGAGUAACGCGUAGGAACACACCCUGCAGUGAGGGAUAAGACACCGAAAGGUGUUCUAAUACCGCAUACGGUCUUCGGAUUAAAGCAUUUAUGCGCUGAAGGAGUGGCCUGCGUCAUAUUAGAUAGUUGGUGAGGUAAUGGCUCACCAAGUCGAUGAUGUGUAGCUGGUCUGAGAGGAUGAUCAGCCAGACUGGAACUGAGACACGGUCCAGACUACUACGGGAGGCAGCAGUGAGGAAUAUUUCACAAUGAGCGAAAGCUUGAUGGAGCAAUGCCGCGUGAAGGAUGAAGGCCCUCGGGUUGUAAACUGCUUUUAUAAGAGAAGAUUAUGACGGUAACUUAUGAAUAAGGGACGGCUAACUACGUG
rnacentral:rRNA from 1 species